rnacentral:rRNA from 1 species
UUUUAUGAGAGUUUGAUCCUGGCUCAGGAUGAACGCUGGCGGCGUGCCUAACACAUGCAAGUCGAGCGAUUUACUUCGGUAAAGAGCGGCGGACGGGUGAGUAACGCGUGGGUAACCUGCCUCAUACACAUGGAUAACAUACCGAAAGGUAUGCUAAUACAGGAUAAUAUAAGAGAUUYACAUGGAUUUCUUAUCAAAGCUCCGGCGGUAUGAGAUGGACCCGCGUCUGAUUAGCUAGUUGGUAAGGUAAUGGCUUACCAAGGCGACGAUCAGUAGCCGACCUGAGAGGGUGAUCGGCCACAUUGGAACUGAGACACGGUCCAAACUCCUACGGGAGGCAGCAGUGGGGAAUAUUGCACAAUGGGCGAAAGCCUGAUGCAGCAACGCCGCGUGAGUGAUGAAGGCCUUCGGGUCGUAAAACUCUGUCCUCAAGGAAGAUAAUGACGGUACUUG